CCCUUAGAUGUCCUGGGCCGCACGCGCGCUACACUGAUGCAUGCAACGAGUUUAUAACCUUGGCCUGAAAGGUCUGGGUAAUCUUUUGAGCGUGCAUCGUGAUAGGGAUAGAUUAUUGCAAUUGUUAAUCUUGAACGAGGAAUUCCUAGUAAACGCGAGUCAUCAGCUCGCAUUGAUUACGUCCCUGCCCUUUGUACACACCGCCCGUCGCACCUACCGAUUGAAUGGUUCGGUGAAGAUCUCGGACUUCGAUAUUUAUUCUUUAUUGAGUUUAUAUUGUGGGAAGUUAUCUAAACCUCAUCAUUUAGAGGAAGGUGAAGUCGUAACA
rnacentral:rRNA from 1 species